rnacentral:lncRNA from 10 species
CUUUUCUUCUGUUCAAUAUCCAGGUUUUGGCAGAGUUCAAAGACUGGGAAGCAAAGUUCAGCCAUGUUGGGCCUUUGGGCUCAUAGAUGAGCAAGGGUACCCCAAUAUGAGGGCUCAGCAAAUUCUGGAACUUAUCAGUUCUGAAGACCUUUAGAGGAGAAGGAGACAAGUAAAAGGUAUGUAGUCCUGGAGGGCGCUGCUUAAUGAACCAGAAGUCCUGCCUCUUAAGUACCUCACCAGCUCAAAUGUGUGCAUGUCACCUUGGCGUGAAUCGGAGCAGGCGCUGGUGGAUACCGUUUGGAGGCAUGCCAGCAAGGAGCUCCUUGUGUAGCCUGCCUCUGGAGCCUCAAGUUCAACUUCCAUAGGGCCAAAAGGGGAGUCGGGCUGGGCAGAAGCUCCUGAGAACCAAAGCAAAUGGUCUGAGAGUCUGAGAGUGUAGUGGAGGUAACGUGUUCGUGUCCUCUCUGGCUGCAUCACCCCAAGUCCUUGCAGACUCAAGUAGCCUAUUUGCAAGUUUAAAUAGUUUGAGUCCUGGCCGGUAACAAGAAUACUCUACAGUGGCCCAGAGUCAGGGAUAUAGAGUGGCGACUACUUGGCAGAACUGGAGCUUGCUCAGAUGAAAAGAUAAAUUGUACUGGUUAAACGAAGAUCAAGUGCAGGGUCUGGACUUUGUUUCUAUCUUUCAUGUGGACUCUAUAAGCACCUACACACAGCAUUCUAGAAACACUGCUCCCAUCCCUCCUGUCUCAUGUCAUCCUCCCAAUUCCGGGAGUUGGGGGGCAUACUCUUUCCCUGUGUCAUGUGAGAAAUUCCUUUCUCAUGGGAAGCAGGUGGCAUUCCUGGACUCUCCUUGGCCUGGCCGUUGGUAAGCACAGGAAUUCAAGGUGUCUGAAUCUCUUGUCAAAGGUGGGCUGUAAGGCUCCAGAAGAGGAGGACAGAAAGUGCCUGCAGAGCUCCUGCCUGAGGCCUUUGGAUGGGCCCUGCUGGCUUGCCGUGUGUGUGUGUGUGUGUGUGUGUGUGUGUGUGUGUGUGUGGUGUCGUGCUUAUUUGCCCCAAAUGAGGCAAGAGAGCAGUGAUCAGGUGUCUCCCCAGCAUCUAGUUUCAUGAAGACAAUAGAAGUGGGUCGGAUCAGGCCUGCUGCCAUGCUUGGCUUGCCCAUGUCUCCUAGGAUUGGCUGCCUGGUGGCCAUCCCUUUGCCAUCCCCUUGACUGCCCUGUGAAUGAUGUCCACUCUGAGACCCCAGGCCACUCAGAAAAACUGAAGAUUCUCAAGUUCAGGUGCAGUUAGGGGGCAGGUCCUGGUGGUGGGGGAGCUUUGAUGUUCUGCAGUUGGAGGAUCCUCUUUCAGAAUAGUAAUGCAAUUUGUGAAUUAAUAAAAUUAGGUAUGCAAGAGGAUAUGUAGAAAAGAAAAAUCACAAGCUACACAAUUUUUAAGUUGACAAAACUACGAACAUCACAAAAUAAUAUGAUAUUUUAAAUUAAUUAUCUGCCUGGAAUACUCUGUCAUUUUUUUUUGAUCUUUUGCCUGCAUCGUCUUUGAUAGCAGUGUUUUUGAUAUUGCUUUUUAUAGAGAGACUCAAGAUAAUGGAG